rnacentral:rRNA from 1 species
ACGAACGCUGGCGGCGCGCCUAACACAUGCAAGUCGAACGGAGUCAAGAGGAGCUUGCUUUUCUUGACUUAGUGGCGAACGGGUGAGUAACGCGUGAGUAACCUGCCCUGGAGUGGGGGACAACAGUUGGAAACGACUGCUAAUACCGCAUAAGCCCACGGAUCCGCAUGGAUCUGCGGGAAAAGGAUUUAUUCGCUUCAGGAUGGACUCGCGUCCAAUUAGCUAGUUGGUGAGGUAACGGCCCACCAAGGCGACGAUUGGUAGCCGGACUGAGAGGUUGAACGGCCACAUUGGGACUGAGACACGGCCCAGACUCCUACGGGAGGCAGCAGUGGGGGAUAUUGCACAAUGGGGGAAACCCUGAUGCAGCGACGCCGCGUGAAGGAAGAAGGUUUUCGGAUUGUAAACUCCUGUCGUUAGGGACGAUAAUGACGGUACCUAACAAGAAAGCACCGGCUAACUACGUG